AUUGAACGCUGGCGGCAUGCCUUACACAUGCAAGUCGAACGGCAGCACGGACUUCGGUCUGGUGGCGAGUGGCGAACGGGUGAGUAAUAUAUCGGAACAUACCUUGUAGUGGGGGAUAACUAUCCGAAAGGAUAGCUAAUACCGCAUACGCUCUAAGGAGGAAAGCGGGGGAUCGUAAGACCUCGUGCUAUAAGAGUGGCCGAUAUCUGAGUAGCUAGUUGGUGAGGUAAAGGCUCACCAAGGCGACGAUCAGUAGCUGGUCUGAGAGGACGACCAGCCACACUGGAACUGAGAAACGGUCCAGACUCCUACGGGAGGCAGCAGUGGGGAAUUUUGGACAAUGGGGGCAACCCUGAUCCAGCAAUGCCGCGUGAGUGAAGAAGGCCUUCGGGUUGUAAAGCUCUUUUGUCAGGGAAGAAACGGUUGUGGCUAAUAUCCAUGGCUAAUGACGGUACCUGAAGAAUAAGCACCGGCUAACUACGUGCCAGCCGCCGCCGUAACAC
rnacentral:rRNA from 1 species